rnacentral:sRNA from 1 species
CAAAGAUUUUGUUAGGUGAGGCUCCUGCAAAGAUAUAUGCUGCUGCCCAGAAAAAUCGAGAGAUUCCAAUGGGUCAACAGGAAUAAUCGCGAAGGUUAUUUCUAAUGUAGCUGACCAAAGGUCAAAGCUUUGCAGUGCUAAAGCUCAACAAGGAAGAAAUAUU